AAAAGUCUAAUGUAAACAAGGGCAAAUCGUAUAGUUCCCAUGUAAAUAGGGGCAAAUAAUAAAAUUCCCCCUCAUGUCUCAUACUCUCUCACUAUCCACUCUCCCACUAUCCGCUCGUCUCUCUCACCCUCCACAGCCGCUCCACAACCGGUAAUCCCCGCGAUGCAGGUGACGGUGAGGGGACGGCGAUGGAGUCCCAGCGAUCCCCGCGACGGAGGGGACGGCGGCGUCGGGUCUCUCCCGGCCAUCUAAUGGAGGGGAUGGGAAGGGGACGGACCGGCCUGCCCGGCGAUCCCCGCGAGGGAGGGGAGGAGACGGCGGCCAUCCGACAAAGGGGAGGAGAAGGCGAAGGGACCGGCCUGUCCCGGAGAUCCCCGCGAUGGAUGGAGGUGAAGGCGACGGAGGGAAGGGGACAGCGCGAAGCGCUUGUCGGGGCGGCUGAGGAGGGAAGGAGCGGAGGCGAUGAUGUUUGUAGAGGCCGGAGAGGGGAGGAGCGGCGGCUGCGGCAUCUAACGUGACCGGCGAGAAGAGAAGCGGUGGCGGCGGCGGGUGGCUGUCGGCUGACGGAGCUAGGGGAGGAAGGAGUGGGCGGCGGCCACUCCGGCGCAACUUCACAUGCCCGGAUACAGAAGGUGUGAUUGUUCUGAAUAUCCUUAGCUACAUGGGUGGUGUGAACUUUGGCAAAACGACAAUGACAAGAAUCUGAAUGCACUUAAGAAGCAUAAUCUUGUAAGGCCGUCGAUGCUUGAGCCCGAGGAUCUGGUCGCAAGUCAUAUUCUCCUCGAUUGACUUGCUCCUACAAGCAAAAGUUGACCAUUGAUCAAGAAUUUGUUAAUUUUAGGGCAUUUCGUGUUUUUAGGGACCGUGAGUUUUCUCGUAUUCCUAGAGGAUACUAUGAAUUACCCGGCGAGACGAUAAUUACUGAACCUGCCACCAAAGUGGAGUGGUCAGAAUUGCAAGGCGCUCUGUGUGUACAUGCUUAUGGUAGAAAUCCCGAAUUGUACCACAUCAAGCCUGGGUGUGUACCAUCGGAAGGAUUGGUCCUCCUCUUAAAUCAAGAGGAUGUAGAUGAAAUGGUGAGAGCCCAUCAAGAUACCAAAAAGUAUGAUUUGUACAUUGUGGCAAAUCAUCAUUUUCGAGGCGAUGGUUAC